AUCUUUAUAAUUUUACUAUCAAAUCCACUUUCAAUAAUUUUUUUCAAAUUUAUAUCCAUAUAAAUAAAUUUAUUGUAAUUCAUUUCUACUUAAAUAUAAGCUACACCUUGAUUUGAAAUAAAUUUUAAUUAAAAUUAUUGAAAAUUAUUAUUCUUUUAAAAUAUUCUGAUAACAACGGUAUAUAAACUGUUUUACAAACUUAAGUAAGGUCCAACGUGGAUUAUCAAUUAUAGAACAAAUUCCUCUGAAUAGACUAAAAUACCGCCAAAUUUUUUAAGUUUCAAGAACAUAACUAUUAC
rnacentral:rRNA from 1 species